AUGGAUCCCUCCCUCCCAGAAGGCAAGUCUCCUAUCUCCCAGCACGCAGCCACCCUACAACAACAAGGGAAUGGGUUUGUAGGAGUUGAUGAGGCAGACCCCUCUAUCUUCACCCUACAUCACACGGAUACAGGUACCCGUGGCAGCAAUUCCCCCUAUACAGUCACUGCCUUGGAUGAGAACAUCACCACAGAUGCAAAAGACAGACCACAACAUGACAUCAUCGACCUGGACUCCACCGGCCCCUCCCCCAGUUUCCAAAGGAAAGGCUCUGACCAGAAGAGCCCAUCCCAGUCUGGUCACCCUGACCCCAGUGUGCUCUUGGAGGAGAACCUGUUGCCUCCUGCAGGGUCAGCAGUGGAGCAGGGAAGGAUUAGUAGUGGCUCUCACACACAGAAGGGCCAGGGGAACAGUGAGGAGGUCGGACAGGCUGGUUCUGAUCACACAGGCUUGCUGACAGUGGCACCCAGUGAGGGUGAUGUCAUAGUCGGAUCUGACAACAAGAUUUACAGGCUCCUGAGUGGCCCUCCAGGGCCAGUUGGCCCUCCAGGAGAACAAGUAAGAAUCUCUUAGGGACCGUUUUUAGAGUUAGAAAUGCUCAUAGAGAUAUUUGUUUUCAAAACUCAGAUCCUUUAAAUAUCACGCCACAUAGAAUCAAAGUCAGUGAUUUCAUAAAACCAAAGUGAUUUUCUGAACACAUGAUUUUACAGAGACAGGUAGCAGAAUAAACUGACAUAUCAGUGAGUGUCUUAGAAUAGAGAAUAGUCAUCCAUUUGUUCCUCAUGAGAAGUACUGUAUGUCUUCACGGGUUUAUUCAGCUAUGGUUUUCUUGUAAAACAAUGAUAUCUUUGUCUCUAUUGGAAAAUGAAAACAUCAGUGGUUUAAUAACUGUCUUUAAUUUGAAUUCAAAUAUUCCCCACUGCAGCUCACUUAAUGCAAAAAAACCUCCCUUUAAUCUUUUGAUUUUUUAUUGCUUAUAAGUACAGGUUAUGGAAAUACUGUACAAACGCUGUGGUUAAAUCUACCCAUAUGACAUGGACACAGACUGAUUCAUAUGCAUUCUACAAAAUUACAGGAGAGAAAAUAAACAUCUCAAAAAGAUGUGGCAGUAAUAUGCUACUGCAGACCAAAAUGUACACUUUGACACACUCUGUUGCAUCAUCUUUAAGUUCUAUUGCCAAACUGUGAUCUUUGCCUGUUGUUCCAGUAUCUUUAUAAUUUCCUGUAAAUAUCUGUCCCUAUGUUCACCACAUUUUCAUGUUUACAGGGAUGUGCUGGCAAAGAAGGCUAUAUUGGGUUCAAGGGAGACAUGGUAAGGGAAUAGAUCACUGGUGAAAUAAUUGUUUUGAAAAUUUUUCAGUAAUGCUGCUGAAUGAUGAGUAAACCCCAAAUGACUUAUGGAUGUCAUUUUUUUGGUAAGUACAGUAUGUGAAUUAGUUUUUUCAGUGUGUGUGUUGGUUCUAUACAGAUUAAGGAUCUUAAUUUCAGCCCUUUUUCUACAGCAGUAAAAUAAUCCUGCAGCAACAGGAAAUUUGAAUUAUUAUGUGGAUUAUAAUUAAUUAAGAUUUUUGUAGGGGUUGAUACGUUUUUCAUAAGGGAAAAUCGUCUGAAGUUUCAAAGUGGAAAUUACAAACUUCAGAAGCCUUUUUGAACCUCAAAUACACAGUUUUAUAUUUCCUGCAUUGCAGAACAGUUCUGCAACAGGGUGAUCAAAUUAAGAUGCUACAUCUGUACCUGUUGGGACUUGUACUUUGUUGAUCACAGUGGUGUAAAGUACUAAAGUAAAAAAUACUUUAAAGUUCUACUUAAGUCGUUUUUUGGGGUGUCUGUACAUUACUUUAUUAUUUAUAUAUUUGAAAACUUUUACUUUUACUUCACUAGUUACCUAAGGAAAAUAAUGUACUUUUUACUCCAUACAUUUUACCUGACACCCAAAAGUACUCAUUACAUUUUGCAUGGCUAGCAGGACAGGAAAAUGGUCCAAUUCACGCACUUAUCAAGAGAACACCCCAUGUCAUCUCUACUGCCUCUGAUCUGGCGGACUCACUAAACACAAAUGCUUUGUUUGUAAAUGAUGUCUGAGUGUUGGUGUGUGCCCCUGGCUAUCCAUAAAAAAAUAUAUA
ensembl:lncRNA